GCUUGAUGGCAUUAUCAGCCUUGUUGCAAGGUUGUGCUAACAAGUUUGUUACAGCUAUGAUAUAACAAGGAUGUUACAAGGUUGUUAUAUCAAGCAUGUAACGGACUUGUCAGAACAACCUUGCAACAAGUCUGAUAAUUUCGACAAGG